CCCACCUAUCUUCCCAAACCCCUCUCAUAACUCCUCAUCUCACAUGCUAGAUCUCCAUCCAACUCCUCCUCUAAUGCCCUCUCCUUCCAACCCCUCUCUGGCAAACCCCUCUCUACGAACCCCUCCUCCGAACUCCUCUACGUCAAGACCGCGGGCAAAAUUUCCUCACCUUAUUCCUUCAUCUCUUCAUUAAAUAGCAAAUGCCCUAAUCUCUUCGCCUCCGUCGCCUCAUUCACGCUUCCUUCACACUGCCAAAUCUCUUUGACCCCACCUUCAUCAAGCGGCAGAUCCCGGCGCUGAGGCGAUCGACCAUGGCAGAUCUACCCAUCUCUUUGCCUCCUUCGCCCCCGACACUGAGGUGACCCCUUGUACUGGCACGACUGCCUCCCGUAUUCAGUUGCGACUACCACUGGUGUCUUCUGUUCCUGACUAUAUACUACAAGAUGAAGUUCAGGCUCAGGACUUGUUGUCUCUAGUGUAGGCGGAAGAAAAUAACACAGUAGAGAAUUAUAGCAACCCUGAAGCACCACAACAACUUCCAGUUUUGGAUGAACGAUUAGGUGAAUCUUUUGCUGAAGAGACUAUGCCAUAUCCAAUUGCCUUGGAGACCACAAGAGAUCCACCUCUUGCAACCGCUGAAGAACCUGUUGGAGAGCCAACUAAGCGCACAUAUGCCUCCAUUGUAUGCAAAAGUUAUUUCUCUGUCAUAUUUUCUUACAGGUUAUUCCUUAGGAGACUGAUGUUAUUUGUGUCCCAACUUCGGGCUAAAGGCCAAUCUAGUCCAUCUAUGCAUCCAACACUUGUAAUAAAGACAUCUCUGGUGGUUUCAGAACAGACCCAUUCCUUUUCCCAACAUUCCCAUCCUGCUAUUUUUCCUGAGAAUUCUGGCUCUAAGGCAAUUGAGGAGGCUCUAGUAGUUGAGGAUGAAGUUGAUUCCAGAUAUGUUUAUGUUGGAAAUCUUCCUUCAUCUAUCUCGACUUCAGAUCUUGAGCAAGUCUUUAAGAAUUUUGGUAAAUUGAGACCAGAUGGUGUUUUUAUUAGAAGCCGGAAGGAGUCUGAUGUUUUUUAUGCUUUCAUUGAAUAUUAAGAUGCCAUUGGUGUACAAAAUGCACUUAAGUUAAAUGGGAGAUUGAUUCAUGUCGAGGGGAGAAGAGCUAAUAGCGGUGUAUCACGAGGAAAUACACAGUGGUAGGUGUUUUGUCCCAGUCUCAAGCCGACAAUCCUUUUUGAUCGGUAUAUCUAGUAGAAGUAAGCAUGCAGAUCGUUGUCUUCGAGGUCGGCUAGCUAUUUUGUGCAUUUUUGUUUUAAAUUUGAAUGUCACUAUCCACUUUGAAAUAAAACUAUUUAGUCUUUGUGUAUAGUUGAAUUCUCCUGUAAAUACUAAUACUUUGUAGUUGAAUUCUAUUGAUUUGGUAUGAGUUUAAAAUCUUUA